UUAUGCAACAAACCACAUGGACACACCUUUGUUGCUUUUGGUGUCACCACUUUCUAAGACUUGAUUGGUUUUAAUAUCAGAGUAGCAAAUGGAAAAAAACCCCCAAAAACUAAUUGGAAUGCAUAGUGUUGCAGAUGCAGGGGAUAAAGUGUUUAAAGGUCCUGUUCCUUCAGCCAUUCAGCCACAUUAGGUGGAGUAAAUAAGGAAAGCUGGCAUGGGGGCUGACAGAGCAUGUUAUGGAUGGUGUUCAUAACAGCAUAAAGCCUCAGCUGCCAUGAGGAUGCUGACUCAAAACUGACUGUUUUGUGCAGCCAGAUCCUCAGCCCAAUGUUGUUUGGAAGUGUCUGUGCCUGGGAUAAAAUCGGGAUGUGUGAUACAAAACGGAUACCAAGACAUGGGGCACCAGGGAGUCUGUGGAUGAUUACACUAAGAAAUAGGCUCUGAGCUCCCUUGUUUUCUUCUCUGAGUACAUAAAUUACAUUUUUGGCCUGAAAGCUAAAUGUUUAGAUGCUGAGGGAGGUCUGCAGAGAGCAGACACUGGUAUUGAGUUCACUGAAGUCAGUGAAUUUAUGGCAGACUUUGGCUAGCAGACAACCUCUUCUAAUUCCUGCAGAUUAAAGGUCCUGUGUGGCAUUGUUUUAAUUCAACUGCACUUUCCUUCUUAGUUUCUGUUCUCCACAGCCAAGACCUUUCAGUGCCUUCUUCUGGACCAGAUCCUUCAUCAUUCAGAGGAGCAUGGAAAAGGUUCAACAUGCAGGCUGCUCCCAGUAGGGUCUGGGAGAAGCUGGUGACACAGCAGAGUAAAAACCCAGAGGUGACAAAAUCCAGCACUCCCACUGCACCAGUUUCAGAAAACUUCAUCAAACAGUGCUUUGUGACUGUUCUCUAUACAAGAAAAAUGAGCAGCUCCAUCUGUUACCUGAAUCCAUGGCCAUCUGUCAUUUUCUGCAGCAGUCCAGGCAUUCACAAGACCUUUCUUAUUAAGCCGUGCGUAGUAGGGGUACCACUUCUGGAGUCCAAAGAGAGCUCGGUGAGUGGAGGAUGCAGUGAUUUGUUGGUUUGACACAAUCCCUCCUUCUAUCCCUAGUGGGCCAGAGCACCCUGCAAAAUGGAAAAAAACCAGAAAGAAUAAAAAAUUUGACUGAACUGA